rnacentral:rRNA from 1 species
GACGAACGCUGGCGGCGUGCCUAAUACAUGCAAGUAGAACGCUGAAGGAGGAGCUUGCUCUUCUGGAUGAGUUGCGAACGGGUGAGUAACGCGUAGGUAACCUGCCUGGUAGUGGGGGAUAACUAUUGGAAACGAUAGCUAAUACCGCAUAAUAACAGUUGUUGCAUGACAACUGUUUGAAAGGUGCAAUUGCAUCACUACCAGAUGGACCUGCGUUGUAUUAGCUAGUUGGUGGGGUAACGGCUCACCAAGGCGACGAUACAUAGCCGACCUGAGAGGGUGAUCGGCCACACUGGGACUGAGACACGGCCCAGACUCCUACGGGAGGCAGCAGUAGGGAAUCUUCGGCAAUGGACGAAAGUCUGACCGAGCAACGCCGCGUGAGUGAAGAAGGUUUUCGGAUCGUAAAGCUCUGUUGUAAGAUAAGAACGAGUGUGAGAGUGGAAAGUUCACACUG